GUCACACUAACUCAAAAAUAAAAAAGAAAAAAAAAUGAAAUACAAUAUUUAAUUUGUAAAAUUUCCCAGCAUGAUGUCAGCUCAUAAAUGGAGGAACUCUACCCAAACUCUAAAUUAAAAUCCUCAUCCCGAAUGGCUCCAACAUCUGCCUGUGCUCUUCCUGUCUGAGAAUCUGAGACAGAAAUUCAGCAGUUUGGUUUGAAGAUUAAUAGCUGUGAUUCAAAUUAACAUCAGUGUUAUUUCUGAAAUCACUUGUUUGGAACAUUUAUGCCAUUUUAUUCCAGUAUUCACUUUAUAAGUAUAAACUCUAUGCAAUAGUGUGAACAUAUACAUGGAAAGACAUCAGCAGCAUGUCUUAAAGUAAUUUUUUUACAUUCAUUCAAUAAAAACUGCAGUUAUGCCACAGUGAGCAAGAAAAUCAGCAAUUUCAGUCGGAACUGACAGGUGCGCAACUAAUUUAUUCAGCAACCUGGAAUGGAAAAAUGGAAAAACUGGAUUUCCAAUCCAAAAUGACCAUUCUUUUAUUUUUUCCAUGUUUGAAAUCCAAUUUUUGGAUAUUGUGCUGAAGAGCUUGUGGAAGUUGAGAAAAUUCCAUCCGUAUUUUUUUGGCACCACAGAUUUUCCUGAAUUGAAGGACUGGAAUACCAUCCCAAACAAAAAUCCGACAGACUCAGGCAGCUAACGCUAAAAUUUUUAUUUAUUUUUAUGGAAGUUUUAAUCUCUUAAUUUCUUCAAUGAAAAAAGAUGACUGUUGGAAUCUGCUUUCCUCCUUAAAGAAGGAAAACAAAACUUGGAGCAGCUCCGAGGUGUUUGAUCCUUAAAGCAGAGAUGCUUGGUGGAGUAUUCCUUUAGCUCUGAUCUUUGAAAAAGCGGCUCUGUAAAAACCCCUGACCCGUCCCUCUUGCUGCUGCGACUAAAGUAUUUUCUCCUGGUUUUAAUGUGGAAAAAGGCCCGCUGCUUGCAGAUAUUUAAUGUUGAAAUUUGAGUAUUUUAGUGUCAGAUGAAGUCUUCAUGCGCUCCAUAGUGUCGUGUAUCUGCUGGUAUGUGGCUGUUUUAGCGUCUCUCUGGUGACAUUUCUGUGACGUUGUGAUACUCUUCCUUUAAUAAAAACACGCUGCAGUGAAGCCUCUGUGUUUGUGACGUUUAGCUUUAGCUGUUAGCGCUCCACAGGAACUAAUAUCUCUAUUUUCUGUCCGUUUCCUGCCCUGGUGCAACAUUUAAUGCUCUGAUAGUGAACGGCUUUGUGAAACAAAACUUCUUCCUUGUUUAUUUCCAAACAAACACAUUGUUUAUGCAUGACAAUGUGUUUACUGUGAUGCAAGCGCUUGGCUUUCUUAUUUUUUUUUAAAUAUCAUUUGCUGUUUAUUCUGUCAACAAAAUUUGUUUAUAUGAAGAUAAUUUAUCAGAGAAAAAAUGACAAAAUUAAAAGGUUUGAAUUGUUUAACUUAUUGGAUUGUAUGUUUGCGAGUGUCGAAGCACAAACAAUAAUUCUGUGUGUUCUAAUGUGUAACUAAGGCUGUCUAAUAAAUCGGCUUCAAUUCAAA